AAUUUACACGUUUAGUAUAUUUGCUUAUUGUCCGGGUACCUAGCCUGGUAUUUAUAGAGGAUUUUCUUAAGGAUAAUGAGCGGAUAUUUUACUACAAAAAAAAAAUGACAAUUUUGUACACAGCAUGCUUUACAGACAAGAAUAUACAUACGAUGUUGGGAAACAUCAUUAGGGAACUACAAAAUUGUACCAGAAGAAUUUUCUAAUCAUUCACGUAC